UGAGGGAUGACGGCCUUCGGGUUGUAAACCUCUUUUAGCAGGGAAGAAGCGAAAGUGACGGUACCUGCAGAAAAAGCGCCGGCUAACUACGUGCCAGCAGCCGCGGUAAUACGUAGGGCGCAAGCGUUAUCCGGAAUUAUUGGGCGUAAAGAGCUCGUAGGCGGUUUGUCGCGUCUGCUGUGAAAUCCGGAGGCUCAACCUCCGGCCUGCAGUGGGUACGGGCAGACUAGAGUGCGGUAGGGGAGAUUGGAAUUCCUGGUGUAGCGGUGGAAUGCGCAGAUAUCAGGAGGAACACCGAUGGCGAAGGCAGAUCUCUGGGCCGUAACUGACGCUGAGGAGCGAAAGGGUGGGGAGCAAACAGGCUUAGAUACCCUGGUAGUCCACCCCGUAAACGUUGGGAACUAGUUGUGGGGUCCAUUCCACGGAUUCCGUGACGCAGCUAACGCAUUAAGUUCCCCGCCUGGGGAGUACGGCCGCAAGGCUAAAACUCAAAGGAAUUGACGGGGACCCGCACAAGCGGCGGAGCAUGCGGAUUAAUUCGAUGCAACGCGAAGAACCUUACCAAGGCUUGACAUAUAC
rnacentral:rRNA from 1 species